rnacentral:rRNA from 1 species
GACGAACGCUGGCGGCGUGCUUAACACAUGCAAGUCGAACGGAAAGGCCCUGCUUUUGUGGGGUGCUCGAGUGGCGAACGGGUGAGUAACACGUGAGUAACCUGCCCUUGACUUUGGGAUAACUUCAGGAAACUGGGGCUAAUACCGGAUAGGAGCUCCUGCUGCAUGGUGGGGGUUGGAAAGUUUCGGCGGUUGGGGAUGGACUCGCGGCUUAUCAGCUUGUUGGUGGGGUAGUGGCUUACCAAGGCUUUGACGGGUAGCCGGCCUGAGAGGGUGACCGGCCACAUUGGGACUGAGAUACGGCCCAGAAUCCUACGGGAGGCAGCAGUGGGGAAUAUUACACAAUGGGCGGAAGCCUGAUGCAGCAACGCCGCGUGCGGGAUGACGGCCUUCGGGUUGUAAACCGCUUUCGCCUGUGACGAAGCGUGAGUGACGGUAAUGGGUAAAGAAGCACCGGCUAACUACGUG